rnacentral:rRNA from 1 species
GACGAACGCUGGCGGCAGGCUUAACGCAUGCAAGUCGAACGCCCCCGCAAGGGGAGUGGCAGACGGGUGAGUAACGCGUGGGAAUCUACCCAGUUCUACGGAACAACAGUUGGAAACGACUGCUAAUACCGUAUACGCCCUAAGGGGGAAAGAUUUAUCGGAAUUGGAUGAGCCCGCGUUGGAUUAGCUAGUUGGUGGGGUAAUGGCCUACCAAGGCGACGAUCCAUAGCUGGUCUGAGAGGAUGAUCAGCCACACUGGGACUGAGACACGGCCCAGACUCCUACGGGAGGCAGCAGUGGGGAAUAUUGGACAAUGGGCGCAAGCCUGAUCCAGCCAUGCCGCGUGAGUGAUGAAGGCCUUAGGGUUGUAAAGCUCUUUCAGUAGGGAAGAUAAUGACGGUACCUACAGAAGAAGCCCCCGGCUAACUUCGUGCCAGCAGCCGCGGUAAUACGAAGGGGGCUAGCGUUGUUCGGAUUUACUGGGCGUAAAGCGCACGUAGGCGGUUUGUUAAGUCAGGGGUGAAAUCCCGGAGCUCAACUCCGGAACUGCCUUUGAUACUGGCAAGCUAGAGUCCGGAAGAGGUAAAGGUGGAAACUCCUAGUGUAGAGGUGGAAUUCGUAGAUAUUAGGAAGAAC